CUUAUACGCGUUCUCCUCUCAUUCCCAAGCAAACUCGCCACUUCUCCACAGCUCCAACAAUAUCUCACUCGUUUCUCAACAUCUCUCUUUGAUUCUCCGAGAAAUCGAUUCGUCUCAACGCAAGCUUGCUCAGAUGGAGAAACAGAUGCUUGGUU
rnacentral:sRNA from 1 species